GCCUAAAGCGUCCGUAGCCUGAUCUAUAAGUUUCCGGUUAAAUCCAUAUGCUCAACAUUUGGGCUGCCGGAAAAACUGUAGAUCUAGGGAGUGGGAGAGGUAGACGGUACUCGACAGGAAGGGGUAAAAUCCUUUGAUCUGUUGAUGACCACCAGUGGCGAAGGCGGUCUACCAGAACACGUCCGACGGUGAGGGAUGAAAGCUGGGGGAGCAAACCGGAUUAGAUACCCGGGUAGUCCCAGCUGUAAACUAUGCAAACUCAGUGAUGCAUUGGCUUGUGGCCAGUGCAGUGCCGCAGAGAAGUCGUUAAGUUUGCCGCCUGGGAAGUACGUACGCAAGUAUGAAACUUAAAGGAAUUGGCGGGGGAGCACCACAAGGGGUGAAGCCUGCGGUUCAAUUGGAGUCAACGCCAGAAAUCUUACCCGGAGAGACAGCAGAAUGAAGGUCAAGCUGAAGACUUUACCAGACAAGCUGAGAAGUGGUGCAUGGCCGUCGCCAGCUCGUGCCGUGAGGUGUCCUGUUAAGUCAGGUAACGAGCGAGAUCCUUGCCUCUAGUUGCCACCAUUACUCUCAGGAGUAGUGGGGCGAAUUAGCGGGACUGCCGUAGUUAAUACGGAGGAAGGAGAGGGCCACGGCAGGUCAGUAUGCCCCGAA
rnacentral:rRNA from 1 species